CUCCUGAUGACAAGUAUAUGUUUGCACAUUUGCCGAAACUCCGUGAGUGACUUAUCAUAAUCUAAGAACACCAGCUGACG
rnacentral:snoRNA from 1 species